GUUUAUGUAGCUUAAAACUAAAGCAUAAUACUGAAGAUGUUAAAAUGAACCCUAUAAAGUUCCAUAAGCA
rnacentral:tRNA from 1 species